UGGGGAAUAUUACACAAUGGAGGGAACUCUGAUGCAGCGACGCCGCGUGAACGAAGAAGGCUUUCGAGUCGUAAAGUUCUUUUAUAUGGGAAGAUAAUGACGGUACCAUAAGAAAAAGCCCCGGCUAACUACGUGCCAGCAGCCGCGGUAAUACGUAGGGGGCUAGCGUUGUCCGGAAUCACUGGGCGUAAAGGGUUCGCAGGCGGAAAUGCAAGUCAGGUGUAAAAGGCAGUAGCUUAACUACUGUAAGCAUUUGAAACUGCAUAUCUUGAGAAGAGUAGAGGUAAGUGGAAUUUUUAGUGUAGCGGUGAAAUGCGUAGAUAUUAAAAAGAAUACCGGUGGCGAAGGCGACUUACUGGGCUCAUUCUGACGCUGAGGAACGAAAGCGUGGGUAGCAAACAGG
rnacentral:rRNA from 1 species